AGAGUUUGAUCCAUGGCUCAGAUUGUAACGCUGGCGGCAGGCUUAACACAUGCAAGUCGAGCGGAAACGAUGAUAGCUUGCUAUCAGGCGUCGAGCGGCGGACGGGUGCAGUAAUACUUASGAAUCUACCUAGUAGUGGGGGAUAGCACGGGGAAACUCGUAUUAAUACCGCAUACGACCUACGGGAGAAAGGGGGCAGUUUACUGCUCUCGCUAUUAGAUGAGCCUAAGUCGGAUUAGCUAGAUGGUGGGGUAAAGGCCUACCAUGGCGACGAUCUGUAGCUGGUCUGAGAGGAUGAUCAGCCACACCGGGACUGAGACACGGCCCGGACUCCUACGGGAGGCAGCAGUGGGGAAUAUUGGACAAUGGGGGAAACCCUGAUCCACCCAUGCCGCGUGUGUGAAGAAGGCCUUUUGGUUGUAAAGCACUUUAAGCAGUGAAGAAGACUCCGUGGUUAAUACCCACGGACGAUGACAUUAGCUGCAGAAUAAGCACCGGCUAACUCUGUGCCAGCCAGCCGCGGUAAUACAGAGGGUGCAAGCGUUAAUCGGAAUUACUGGGCGUAAAGGGAGCGUAGGUGGCUCUAUAAGUCAGAUGUGAAAUCCCCGGGCUCAACCUGGGAACUGCAUCUGAAACUGUAGAGCUAGAGUAUGUGAGAGGAAGGUAGAAUUCCAGGUGUAGCGGUGAAAUGCGUAGAGAUCUGGAGGAAUACCGAUGGCGAAGGCAGCCUUCUGGCAUAAUACUGACACUGAGGCUCGAAAGCGUGGGUAGCAAACAGGAUUAGAUACCCUGGUAGUCCACGCCGUAAACGAUGUCUACUAGUCGUUGGGUCCCUUGAGGACUUAGUGACGCAGCUAACGCAAUAAGUAGACCGCCUGGGGAGUACGGCCGCAAGGUUAAAACUCAAAUGAAUUGACGGGGGCCCGCACAAGCGGUGGAGCAUGUGGUUUAAUUCGAUGCAACGCGAAGAACCUUACCUGGUCUUGACAUAUCUAGAAUCCUGCAGAGAUGCGGGAGUGCCUUCGGGAAUUAGAAUACAGGUGCUGCAUGGCUGUCGUCAGCUCGUGUCGUGAGAUGUUGGGUUAAGUCCCGCAACGAGCGCAACCCUUGUCCUUAGUUACCAGCGGGUUAAGCCGGGAACUCUAAGGAUACUGCCAGUGACAAACUGGAGGAAGGCGGGGACGACGUCAAGUCAUCAUGGCCCUUACGACCAGGGCUACACACGUGCUACAAUGGUAGGUACAGAGGGCAGCUACACAGCGAUGUGAUGCGAAUCUCAAAAAGCCUAUCGUAGUCCAGAUUGGAGUCUGCAACUCGACUCCAUGAAGUAGGAAUCGCUAGUAAUCGCGGAUCAGAAUGCCGCGGUGAAUACGUUCCCGGGCCUUGUACACACCGCCCGUCACACCAUGGGAGUUGAUUGCACCAGAAGUGGUUAGCCUAACCUUCGGGAAGGCGAUCACCACGGUGUGGUUGAUGACUGGGGUGAAGUCGUAACAAGGUAGCCGUAGGGGAACCUGCGGCUGGAAUCACCUCCUUA
rnacentral:rRNA from 1 species